rnacentral:rRNA from 1 species
UGAAUACGAGACGCUAAGGCGUCGAAGUAGUGUAUGUCAUACUUCCAAGAAAAGCUUGCACUGUCAUAGAUAAAAAACGCCUGUACCAUAACCGACACAGGUGGGUAGGUAGAGUAUACUAAGGGGCGCGAGAUAACUCUCUCUAAGGAACUCGGCAAAAUAACUCCGUAACUUCGGGAGAAGGAGUGCCUUAUUCGUAAGGUUGCAAUAACAAGAUCCAAGCAACUGUUUAUCAAAAACACAGGUCUCCGCUAAGUCGUAAGACGAUGUAUGGGGGCUGACGCCUGCCCAGUGCCAUAGGGUUAAAGAAGUUGGUUAGCAAUUGCGAAGCUGAUAACUGAAGCCCUGGUGAACGGCGGCCGUAACUAUAACGGUCCUAAGGUAGCGAAAUUCCUUGUCGGGUAAGUUCCGACCCGCACGAAAGGCGUAAUGAUUUGGAUACUGUCUCGGAGAGGGGCUCGGUGAAAUAGACUUGUCUGUGAAGAUGCGGACUACCUGCACCAGGACAGAAAGACCCUAUGAAGCUUUACUGUAACUUGAAAUUGAAAUUGGACUUUAUUCGCGCAGUAUAGGUGGGAGGCGUUGAUUAUAAUCUUGUGGGAUUAUUGGAGCCAUCAGUGAGAUACCACUCUUGUAAUGUUAGAUUUCUAACUUUGAAUCAUUAUCUGGUCAAAGAACAGUUUCAGGCGGGCAGUUUGACUGGGGCGGUCGCCUCCUAAACGGUAACGGAGGCGUACAAAGGUUUCCUCUGAACGGUUAGAAAUCGUAUCUAGAGUGUAAAGGCAUAAGGAAGCUUGACUGUGAGACCUACAAGUCGAGCAGGGACGAAAGUCGGUCUUAGUGAUCUGACGGUACUGAGUGGAAAGGCCGUCACUCAACGGAUAAAAGUUACUCUAGGAUAACAGGCUGAUCUCCCCCAAGAGUUCACAUCGACGGGGAGGUUUGGCACCUCGAUGUCGGCUCAUCGCAUCCUGGGGCGGUAGUACGUCCCAAGGGUUGGGCUGUUCGCCCAUGAAAGCGGUACGCGAGCUGGGUUCAGAACGUCGUGAGACAGUUCGGUCCAUAUCCGGUGUAGGCGUUAGAAAAUUGAGAGGAGCCUUCUUUAGUACGAGAGGACCGAGAAGGACAUACCUCUGGUGUACCAGUUAUCGUGCCAACGGUAAACGCUGGGUAGCUAUGUAUGGAGUGGAUAACCGCUGAAAGCAUCUAAGUGGGAAGCCCACCUCAAGAUAAGUAUUCUC